rnacentral:rRNA from 1 species
UGGGGAAUAUUGCACAAUGGGCGCAAGCCUGAUGCAGCGACGCCGCGUGGGGGAUGACGGCCUUCGGGUUGUAAACUCCUUUCGCUAGGGACGAAGCUUUUUGUGACGGUACCUAGAUAAGAAGCACCGGCUAACUACGUGCCAGCAGCCGCGGUAAUACGUAGGGUGCGAGCGUUGUCCGGAAUUACUGGGCGUAAAGGGCUCGUAGGUGGUUUGUCGCGUCGUCUGUGAAAUUCCGGGGCUUAACUCCGGGCGUGCAGGCGAUACGGGCAUAACUUGAGUACUGUAGGGGUAACUGGAAUUCCUGGUGUAGCGGUGAAAUGCGCAGAUAUCAUGAGGAACACCGAUGGCGAAGGCAGGUUACUGGGCAGUUACUGACGCUGAGGAGCGAAAGCAUGGGUAGCGAACAGG